GCCUACAAAUCAUUACCCAUCACCGGCACCGGCGGAAGAUGCACCUAUUGAACAUUACCCAUCACCGGCACCGGCGGCAGCAGUGACAGCAGCACCUAUUGAACACUACCCAUCAUCGCCAACGGCGGAAGAAGCACCUAUUGAACACUACCCAUCACCGGCACCGGCGGCAGCAGCACCUAUUGAACAGUACUACCCAUCACCGCCAACGGCGGAAGCAGCACCUAUUGAACAGUACUACCCAUCACCGCCAACGGCGGAAGCAGCACCUAUUGAACACGACUACCCAUCACCGCUACCGGCGGCAGCAGUGGAAGCAGCACCUAUUGAACACGACUACCCAUCACCGCCACCGCCGGUAGCAGUGGCAGCAGCACCUAUUGAACAGUACUACCCAUCACCGCCGGUAGCAGUGGCAGCAGCACCUAUUGGACAGUACUACCCAUCACCGCCACCGGCGGAAGCAGC
rnacentral:lncRNA from 1 species